rnacentral:lncRNA from 1 species
AACGUUUUGUUAACAGUGCUAGAUUCAGCACAUGCAUUCUUCGUAGAGUUCAUUUUUCUUUGUUUGUUUCACAGUUUAUGCUGACUUUUCAAAAAUUACCCGAUAUAAGCUAUGUAGAACUUAAUGGGACUUUUCUUCUAAGAAAGAUGUAUUUUUUUCCACUUUGUCAAACAUUGAUUGGGAACUGAAACUUUCUUGGAAUCCUCAUUCUAAUUAAAACACAUUCUUCGUUCUUUUAGCAGAGAAAAAUGGUAUAAACUAAAGUAGAUCUCUGCUCUUAGGAUUCUAAGAUAUGCAAAUAGUUUUUCCACUUAAGAUCUCUGCAUAGACUUGGUCAGCACAAAUUACUAAAGCAUUCUGUGCGCCUUGGAGAGAGACAAUAAGACAGUGAAAGCAGAUGAAAGAGUUUCAAGCUCUUGUUUGAAGUGGACCAAAUUUUGGACUGCCUGCCUGUUUCCCAGCAAAUUCAGAUAUGGAGCAUUAGUUGCUGAAAGGGAUACUCAAAUAAUGUCCUUUUUACUCUAUGCUUGGAGAAGAAAGCUUUGUGGCACUGAGUCAAAGUGGAAAUUCCAGAGUGUUCUGUCCAGACCCUCCAAAACCAGACAACUAUUGAUGGAUUGAUUCUUCACUCCACCCAGAUUCUUAAUUUCAAAAGGGACAGAAGCAGCACAUCUCCAGUUGCACAAACAGGCCUGUUGAAUGCCAGCUGAAGGUCGAGAUUAAGUCAAAAUGUGGGGCAGGAUGGGGUGGGUGAGCGAUGGAGAGUCUAAAUAAAUAAAUAAAUAAAACCCA